AUGGUACGUUUGAUGAGCAGACUCAAAGCUCUGAUGUGAAUAUGAACACCAUUUUCAUCGUCGUCGUUGUUAUUGUAUCUUUGGUGAUAGGAACAGCUGUAUCUGUCCUAGUAUAUAAAAGAUUCAUCAGUCUAAAGAAUAAAGUCAGACAGAUUGCUGUUAGGCCACAAGCCCAACAAAACAGAUAAUUGAAUGCGAGUUUUAAUCUGAAUAAAGUCUAUUUCUUUGUAAAUAAUUAUUGAAAGUGCUUUCAAUCAGAUCUGCAAUAAUGAAUAUAAGUCGUCUAAGACCAUGAAAUUGAAAGUGUGAUUUAUCAACAACAUGUAUAUGCUUAUCCAUAUCUUUAGUUGCAAAAUGGAUGACAAACUGUUUUAAUAAGUAGGGAUGAAACAUUUCGAUAUAAUCGAAACCUAUCUGGACUUCUAAAUUUUAUCAAUGAGGCAAAUAGUUAUAGUUUUGCACAUAGCAAAUGUUUACAAAAACAAUACAAAAUAAAAACAAUAUACAUGCUUUUGUUUCUAUUGAA